rnacentral:sRNA from 1 species
GCUGGGAAUGGUGAUGUGUGUCUGUAAUCCAGCUACUGGGAGGCUGAGGCAGGAGGGAUUGCCAGUUGGAAGCCAGUCUGGGCAACUUAGGAAGACCCUGUCUCAA